ACCAGAGCCAAAACCAGGUCAUUAACUGUGAAAGGCUUGUCAGAGGGUUUUACUCAUCUGGAGAGAGCCUUGGCUUCUUUUGAGGCAGAAGACCCUAACGUUUCUAGGUUUGACAAAAUCAAGAGAGGAAUCAUGGAUUUGGUGACUUUCUACAAGGAGACCCUGAAGGAGAAGCAGACGAAGAGAAGUGUGCAGUCCAGGCUUGACACUUUCUUUCACAAGUCUCCAGUACCACCACCUCCCACUCCUAGUCCUGGUAAGGAAUUCUGAACUGUUUUACUAAUUUAUGUGUUUAUACAUAGUGUACAUAUUAAAAUGUGUUAAUUUUUUAAUGUAACAACUAAAUGUAAGAGUAAAUUGUAACUUCAUUAAUUUUCAUCAUUUGUAAUUUUAUUGCAGAAGUGGUGACAGUUCCAGAUCCCCCUGUACUACCUGUGACAGUUCCAGAUCUCCCUGUACUACCUGUGACAGUUCCAGAUCUCCCUGUACUACCUGUGACAGUUCCAGAUCCCCUGUACCUGGACCCUCUGUAUCAGCCCGCCCACCUGUACGUGUACAAUCAGGUAAGCAAUUUCAUUUUUCUCAUUUUCAUGUUGGAAAUUGUUUACACCCUACAUACAUACGUACACUAACUUACAUAGUGGUACAAUGUGUUUGAUGUUGCAUAACCUUAUUAUUAUUAUUUUUUUUUUUUUCAUUUCAGACCCCUUUGAUAUGAUGACAGUGACCCAGAUGACCCUGAGCCUUUCCAUGGUUUUGAUGCCUCGCCCUAUACAUCAGAUGUAGAUGUUCCCUCAUCAGUUGAUACGAGUAUCACCUCUCCAGAGCCCAAAUCAGUUGAUACGAGUAGUAUCACCUCUCCCAUUCCUUCAGACUCCCAAGCACCUGCCCAUCCCACUCCAUAGCCCAGCCACCCACUCUCAUGUACCAUAUGGCCAUCCCAGUAAGCAAGCCAACCACUAGAAUUUGACUGGCAUGCACCUGUGACUUACAUAAACCAGACCUCUACAUAGCCUACAUGUCUUCAUUUUGCUGAAGACUGCCCAUCAUCCUAGCCUGUUAUCUGUGAUAAAGCACACUGAAGUUAGGUUUGGAAUGCAUCCUUAUCAUGAAUGCUCUACACCUCCACCUCCAUCUCCCACAACCUAGGUAACAGCUUUGAGACUCACUAAAAGUUGGUAAGUUAUGUAAGGAAUUUCUAAAUUAAGUUUUAUACUACAUGUUAUAUGUGAUAUUAAACCACUGUAUGGUGCAUAUUACUGUAUGUAACUUACUAUGCAUAGAGUACUUACUGACAAAAUUAUUUUUUGUACAUUCCAGAACCCCCUGAAUGAUGUAGGCUAUGGGGCCACAUAAGACUUUGUCCAUCCAGGGUUACAUUGAACGACAACUUUAAACUAAAAAACCAACAUUUUUCACACAACUCCAGGUUGUUACUAACAAAUUACUACUACAAGUGUCAUCAAGGGAUAACUACAAGUAGAAGCACCAUUUUUGGAUGGAAAAAACCCUUCAGGAAAGUAUACGUAUCACAUGUAACAUGUAGUGUAACAAAGUAUGAACAGUAAGGUUUUUACAUACAGUAGUACAUAUUAUACGUACAUAACUUUUUUUUACAGGAAUUUCCAACCAAGUUUGAUUAUGUACAUACAUGUUAUAAACCACUGUACGUAUGGUUACUGUAUGUAACUUACUAAACAUACAUAACAUGGCUUAACUUUGAUACUUUUUUGGUACAUUCCAGAAAACCAGGACCCCCUCCAUGAUGCAGGCUAUGGGGCCACAUAAAACUUUGUCCAGGGUUACUACAUAACAUAAAGAACCCCCUGAAUGAUGUAGGCUAUGGGGCCACAUAAGACUUUGUCCAUCCAGGGUUACAUUGAACGACAACUUUAAACUAAAGGUAAGGAAUUAAUUAACAUACAUUAACUAAGUUUUAUACAUGUUAUAUAUGUGAUAUUAAACCACUGUAUGGUGCAUAUUACUGUAUGUAACUUACUAUGCAUAGAGUACUUACUGACAUACUAAUUAUUUUUUGUACA